rnacentral:rRNA from 1 species
GACGAACGCUGGCGGCGUGCUUAACACAUGCAAGUCGAACGGAAAGGCCCUGCUUUUGUGGGGUGCUCGAGUGGCGAACGGGUGAGUAACACGUGUGUAACCUGCCCUUGACUUUGGGAUAACUUCAGGAAACUGGGGCUAAUACCGGGUAGGAGCUCCUGCUGCAUGGUGGGGGUUGGAAAGUUUCGGCGGUUGGGGAUGGACUCGCGGCUUAUGAGCUUGUUGGUGGAGUAGUGGCUUACCAAGGCUUUGACGGCUAGCCGGCCUGAGAGGGGGACCGGCCUCAUUGGGACUGAGAGAGGGCCCAGACUCCUACGGGAGGCAGCAGUGGGGAAUAUUGCACAGUGGGCGGAAGCCUGAUGCAGCAACGCCGCGUGCGGGAUGACGGCUUUCGGGUUGUAAACCGCUUUCGACUGUGACGAAGCGUGAUUGACGGUAAUGGGUAAAGAAGCACCGGCUAACUACGUG